rnacentral:rRNA from 1 species
UACGUAGGGUGCAAGCGUUAAUCGGAAUUACUGGGCGUAAAGCGUGCGCAGGCGGUUUUGUAAGUCUGUUGUGAAAUCCCCGGGCUCAACCUGGGAAUGGCAAUGGAGACUGCAAGGCUAGAGUUUGGCAGAGGGGGGUAGAAUUCCACGUGUAGCAGUGAAAUGCGUAGAUAUGUGGAGGAACACCGAUGGCGAAGGCAGCCCCCUGGGUCAAAACUGACGCUCAUGCACGAAAGCGUGGGAGCAAACAGG